rnacentral:rRNA from 1 species
AUGAACGCUGGCGGCGUGCUUAACCCAUGCAAGUCGCACGGUGAACACGGAGCUUGCUCUGUGGGAUCAGUGGCGAACGGGUGAGUAACACGUGAGCAACCUGCCCCUGACUCUGGGAUAAGCGCUGGAAACGGCGUCUAAUACUGGAUAUGUGACGUGACCGCAUGGUCUGCGUUUGGAAAGAUUUUUCGGUUGGGGAUGGGCUCGCGGCCUAUCAGCUUGUUGGUGAGGUAAUGGCUCACCAAGGCGUCGACGGGUAGCCGGCCUGAGAGGGUGACCGGCCACACUGGGACUGAGACACGGCCCAGACUCCUACGGGAGGCAGCAGUGGGGAAUAUUGCACAAUGGGCGCAAGCCUGAUGCAGCAACGCCGCGUGAGGGAUGACGGCCUUCGGGUUGUAAACCUCUUUUAGCAGGGAAGAAGCGAAAGUGACGGUACCUGCAGAAAAAGCGCCGGCUAACUACGUG